GUGCCAGCCGCCGCGGUAAUACGUAGGUGGCAAGCGUUAUCCGGAAUUAUUGGGCGUAAAGCGCGCGUAGGCGGUUUUUUAAGUCUGAUGUGAAAGCCCACGGCUCAACCGUGGAGGGUCAUUGGAAACUGGAAAACUUGAGUGCGGAAGAGGAAAGUGGAAUUCCAUGUGUAGCGGUGAAAUGCGCAGAGAUAUGGAGGAACACCAGUGGCGAAGGCGACUUUCUGGUCUGUAACUGACGCUGAUGUGCGAAAGCGUGGGGAUCAAACAGGAUUAGAUA
rnacentral:rRNA from 1 species